rnacentral:rRNA from 1 species
ACAUCCAGAGAACUUAGCAGAGAUGCUUUGGUGCCUUCGGGAACUCUGAGACAGGUGCUGCAUGGCUGUCGUCAGCUCGUGUUGUGAAAUGUUGGGUUAAGUCCCGCAACGAGCGCAACCCUUAUCCUUUGUUGCCAGCGAUUCGGUCGGGAACUCAAAGGAGACUGCCGGUGAUAAACCGGAGGAAGGUGGGGAUGACGUCAAGUCAUCAUGGCCCUUACGGCCAGGGCUACACACGUGCUACAAUGGCGCAUACAAAGAGAAGCGACCUCGCGAGAGCAAGCGGACCUCAUAAAGUGCGUCGUAGUCCGGAUUGGAGUCUGCAACUCGACUCCAUGAAGUCGGAAUCGCUAGUAAUCGUAGAUCAGAAUGCUACGGUGAAUACGUUCCCGGGCCUUGUACACACCGCCCGUCACACCAUGGGAGUGGGUUGCAAAAGAAGUAGGUAGCUUAACCUUCGGGAGGGCGCUUACCACUUUGUGAUUCAUGACUGGGGUGAAGUCGUAACAAGGUAGGCGUAGACGU